AUGGCCAUACCAUGCUGAAUAUACCGGUUCUCGUUCUAUUAGCAAAAUCAAGCAUCAUCGGGGUGGUCCGUACUUGGGAGGGUGACCACCUGGGAGA
rnacentral:rRNA from 1 species